UAUUUUAGUACAGAGGCUGCGCGUGCGGCACCGGGAGUGCUGGGAGGGACUGGUUUGGACUGGGAGCACUGGUUUGUAAUGGGAGCACUGGUUCAUACUGGGAUCCCUGUUCCAUACUGGAAUCAUUGGUCCAUACUGGGAGCACUGGUUCAUACUGGGAGCACUGGUUCAUACUGGAAUCAUUGGUCCAUACUGGGAGCACUGGUUCAUACUGGGAUCCCUGUUCCAUACUGGGAUCAUUGGUCCAUACUGGGAGCACUGGUUUUUACUGGGCCCGGCCCCCCAGCACCACGCAGAGCCCGCGGAUCUUUCUGGAAAGUUUUUAAUCAGAACCUGGAAAAUCCAACGCAGAGGGGGCGUGGCCUGGGCUUGGCCCCUCCCCCCAGUGUCCCCGCACCCAGGGGCGGUGCCCGGGGCGGGGCUACAGCAGGACAGAAAUGGGGGGAAGGGAGGCCCCACCCCCGGCCCCGCCCCUCCCCCACCCAUACCGGGGCCUUCCUGAGUGCGGGGGGAGGGGCAGCCCUGGGGGGAGGGGCGGGGACAGCUCUGUCCCCAACGUGGGGGGGAGGGGCAGGGGACACCGGCAGGGGGAGGGGACACCCCCACCCCCCCUAAGGCCACCCCCGGACUGUCCCCGUGUCCCCCGUAAGGCUCAGGGACCCCCAGGAUGUCCCCACGCGUCCCCUGGGCCACCCCCGGCUGCUCCUGAGCCACCCGGGAUGUCCCCAAAGCCACCCGGGAUGUCCCCAAAGCCACCCGGGAUGUCCCUGCGCCAUCCACGAUGUCCCCCAGGACCCCUCAGAAGGGCCCUGGGCCACCUCUCCUGUCCCCAGAGGUCCCUGUCCCCAAUGAGCCUCCCCAGAAGGUGCCACCAGGAUGUCCCCAUGAAUGAAACCCCGGCCCUGUCCCCAAGGCCCAUCCAGGAUGUCCCCGGGUGUAUCCAGGCGGUCUCAGCUCCAUCCAGGGCUCCCAGGUCCAUCCUGGUGCUCCCGUGUCCCCCCGUGGGUGUCCCCUCCAUGUCCGUGGCUCCGUGGCCACCCCAGAGGCACUCCCAGGUCACCGUGGCCGUGUCCCCAAAAGCCGCAGCCCCGAGGUGGCCAUGGCCGUGUCCCCAGGGGUGACAGCCCUGAGGUGGCCGUGUCCCCAGGAGCCAGAGCUCCAAGGUGGCCGUGGCCGUGUCCCCAAGAGCUGCAGCUUGGUGGCCACUCCUGGAUCACCAUGUCCGUGUCCCCAGAGCUCCAUGGCCACCUCAGCUGUCCCCAGGUGACUCCCACUGUCCCAUCCGUUGCUCAGAGCUUGAGCUCCGUGGCCACCUUGGAGCCCCUCCUGGGUCACCGUGUCCGUGUCCCCGGAGCUCCAUGGCCACUCCUGGGUCACCGUGUCCAUGUCCCCGGAGCUCCAUGGCCACUCCUGGGUCACCACAUCCGUGUCCGUGUCCCCGGAGCUCGGUGGCCCCCCAGCCGUCCCCGCCGUGGCUCAGAGCUUGAGCUCGUUGGCCACCUUGGAGGCGAUGUUCUUGAAGGCCAUGGAGGUGCCGGCGAUGCGCUUGAAGCGGACGCCGUUGAGCGAGAGCCGGGGCAGCUUGCACACCUCCAUCUCCCACUGCACGAAGGAGUCGUGCCCGGGCGCGCCGUGGGCGCAGAGCAGCACGAAGCGCUCCUGGGGCUCGCAGCGGCAGCUGUUGGCGUCCAGCACCUUGCGGAUCUCGCGCAGCAUCUCCCCGGGCUCCAGCGAGCUCGUCGUCUUCAUGCUCCACGUGAAGCGCAGCGAGCGCGGCUUGGCGUCGCGCCCGGCGUCGCGGGGGUCCUUGUCGGGGCCCACCGCGGGUC
ensembl:lncRNA